rnacentral:ribozyme from 1 species
UGCCCAUCAACUCCUAUCCCUACCUCCUCGUGGUACUGGCCGGGGUACGAGUAACCUUGGGGAAGAUCGGGUAACCAACCCCCGGUGGGAAAGG